CUGCCUCAAUAGUACUGGACCCUGCAGGGCGUCCACGAGGUGUUCGGCGACAAGGUGCGCAUCGAUCGGCUCGACAGCCGCACGCUGGAGCGCGACCACACCAAGACAUUCGCUUGCUGGGUGUGGGUAUGGGACAUGGCAUUCAUCCCCACCCGGCACACCUACUGGAAGCUCCCUCAGGGCGCCGGGCGCGUCGAGGAGAUGGAGGGCCACUCGCCGCCCGAUCGGCGCGUCGCCCUGCCACCUGGCGCCGAGCGCUACGACCUCCUCAUCCAUGUCCACAGGGUGGAGGACUGG
rnacentral:rRNA from 1 species